UACAGAGGUGGCAAGCGUUAUUCGGAAUUACUGGGCGUAAAGGGCGCGUAGGCGGCCUUCUAAGUCAGACGUGAAAUCCCCCGGCUUAACCUGGGAACUGCGUCUGAUACUGGGAGGCUUGAGUAUGGGAGAGGGAUGUAGAAUUCCAGGUGUAGCGGUGAAAUGCGUAGAUAUCUGGAGGAAUACCGGUGGCGAAGGCGGCAUCCUGGACCAUUACUGACGCUGAGGCGCGAAAGCUAGGGGAGCAAACGGG
rnacentral:rRNA from 1 species